CGGUGACCGGAAAACGUUGUGAAUUGGCUAGAACAGUCGACAUUCUCACCGUCAAUUCUUCUUCCUCGUCUGGUGCAUGGACGAUCAGAGGCCACAGGCGUGACGGCGGCGAGGAGACGAAGAGGAUGGUGCCCAUGCGCCAUCGCGGGGUGGCCAGACGUGAAAGUUCCGGUCGGGUUCCUCCUCCGGGUCGGCGACCUCUUUUCGGGUCAGAAGCUUCGAGCUUCUCUCUCGAUCACUCUUACACACCUAG
rnacentral:lncRNA from 1 species